rnacentral:rRNA from 1 species
GACGAACGCUGGCGGCGUGCUUAACACAUGCAAGUCGAACGCUGAAGCACCAGCUUGCUGGUGUGGAUGAGUGGCGAACGGGUGAGUAAUACGUGAGUAACCUGCCCUUGACUCUGGGAUAAGCCCGGGAAACUGGGUCUAAUACUGGAUGCUAUAUGUCACCGCAUGGUGGUGUGUGGAAAGGGUUUACUGGUCUUGGAUGGGCUCACGGCCUAUCAGCUUGUUGGUGAGGUAAUGGCUCACCAAGGCGACGACGGGUAGCCGGCCUGAGAGGGUGACCGGCCACACUGGGACUGAGACACGGCCCAGACUCCUACGGGAGGCAGCAGUGGGGAAUAUUGCACAAUGGGCGAAAGCCUGAUGCAGCGACGCCGCGUGAGGGAUGACGGCCUUCGGGUUGUAAACCUCUUUCAGCAGGGAAGAAGCCACAAGUGACGGUACCUGCAGAAGAAGCGCCGGCUAACUACGUG